GACGAACGCUGGCGGCGUGCUUAACACAUGCAAGUCGAACGGAAAGGCCCUGCUUUUGUGGGGUGCUCGAGUUGCGAACGGGUGAGUAACACGUGAGUAACCUGCCCUUGACUUUGGGAUAACUUCAGGAAACUUGUGCUAAUACCGGAUAGGAGCUCCUGCUGCAUGGUGGGGGUUGGAAAGUUUCGGCGGUUGGGGAUGGACUCGCGGCUUAUCAGCUUGUUGGUGGGGUAGUGGCUUACCAAGGCUUUGACGGGUAGCCGGCCUGAGAGGGUGACCGGCCACAUUGGGACUGAGAUACGGCCCAGACUCCUACGGGAGGCAGCAGUGGGGAAUAUUGCACAAUGGGAGGAAGCCUGAUGCAGCAACGCCGCGUGCGGGAUGACGGCCUUCGGGUUGUAAACCGCUUUCGCCUGUGACGAAGCGUGAGUGACGGUAAUGGGUAAAGAAGCACCGGCUAACUACGUG
rnacentral:rRNA from 1 species